rnacentral:lncRNA from 1 species
ACCACCCUCGCGGUUUUUUUUUGUUUUUUUUUUUAAAUCGGCCUUUCCUGGGCGGGACUUCAAGCCCCGCCCCGACGUCCCGCCCUGCAGCCGCUCCGGGGCGGGGCUCCCUUCAGCCCUCGGCUGCCCUUUUCCCUGCGGCCUCUGCCCGGAGUAGCACCCGCUGCGGAGCUCCGAACACGUGCGGUUUUUGGCAGACACAACAUCUUUGUAUGUGGUGCUGAGGAUCGAAUCUGGGCCGCACGCAUGCCAGGCGAGCGCGCUACCACUUGAGCUACAUCCCCAGCCCGAUCCUAGAUCUCUUCCUGGAAGGUAACUUCUACAUAUCCUGUGGGUUUAACCUAUAUUCCAUUUAAAUCUAUGUGCAGAGCACU